rnacentral:rRNA from 1 species
UACGUAGGUGGCAAGCGUUGUCCGGAUUUAUUGGGUUUAAAGGGUGCGUAGGUGGCCCUGUAAGUCAGUGGUGAAAUAUCUCAGCUUAACUGAGAGGGUGCCAUUGAUACUGCAGGGCUUGAGUACAGAUGAGGUAGGCGGAACUGACGGUGUAGCGGUGAAAUGCAUAGAUAUCGUCAAGAACACCGAUAGCGAAGGCAGCUUACCAAGCUGUAACUGACACUGAGGCACGAAAGUGUGGGGAUCAAACAGG